UGUGGACUGUUCUUCCCUGAGUCCUGGGGUCUUGUACCAUAUUGCAAACCCAUCGCUACUGUUGUUGGUGAACCCAUCACAGUUCCAAAAAUCGAGGAGCCGAGUCAGGACGUCAUAGAUAUGUACCACGCCAUGUACAUCAGGUCCCUCAAGUCUCUCUUUGACAAUUACAAGACCCGUUUUGGUCUAAAUGAGAGUGACACCCUUCAAAUUCAAUGAAAGACAGCAUUGAGGAAUAAAAACUUUAUAAAAGAACACUCUGAAACAUCUGACUCCCAACUAAAUUGCCUGUUCAGAGAAGGUGAACGAAAUCAAUGCUGUUUCUAUUGAUUCAUUACAGUAAACUGUACUAGUGUUCAACUGUACAGUGAAUCUAGCCUGUGCCACUUCUGCUUAUUGCCACUGGGUGACAAUACCUAAUAAAUACUACAUCGACUGCUGUCAAGUGUAAUCUAGAUCUCAUCGCUGGUGGACAUAUAUCCCUCAAAAUAUGGCAAUACAUUUACAAGUAAUGUAUUUAAGGUUUGCCCCCAUUAUUUUACUGCACAAGCAAUGCAAUUAUUGUGAGUUUUGCCUCACUAAAAAAUCACAGGGUGGUUGUGUAACCAAAGAGUGGAGGUGACGCAAAAGUGUGAUUAAUUUGUUGGAAUAAAUGUAAAUAUGAUUGGAUAUUUUGCUUUUAAGAAAAUUAUCCUAUUUGAUCAUGGCUCGAAGGUAAAAGUGAAGUCUAGAAGGUGAAGAUUAUAAUGAAUACCUGUAAAUGUGUGAUAGUAUUACCAGAAUGCUAAUGAAUGCUGGUCAUUUUUUCUCUCUAACACUAUUGAUAAUUCACCACAGAAGUAUUAAUUUUGCAUAUACAAGUUGCACAUACAUGCUUUGUUGAGCUCAAGCAAAUAGUUUA